rnacentral:rRNA from 1 species
ACGCCCGGUCACAUUCCGAACCCGGAAGCUAAGCCCUUCAGCGCCGAUGGUACUGCACUCGCCAGGGUGUGGGAGAGUAGGACACCGCCGGAC